rnacentral:rRNA from 1 species
AGUGAACGCUGGCGGUAGGCCUAACACAUGCAAGUCGAACGGCAGCACAGUAAGAGCUUGCUCUUACGGGUGGCGAGUGGCGGGCGGGUGAGGAAUACAUCGGAAUCUACUUUUUCGUGGGGGAUAACGUAGGGAAACUUACGCUAAUACCGCAUACGACCUACGGGUGAAAGCAUGGGAUCUUCGGACCUUGCGCGAUUGAAUGAGCCGAUGUCGGAUUAGCUAGUUGGCGGGGUAAAGGCCCACCAAGGCGACGAUCCGUAGCUGGUCUGAGAGGAUGAUCAGCCACACUGGAACUGAGACACGGUCCAGACUCCUACGGGAGGCAGCAGUGGGGAAUAUUGGACAAUGGGCGCAAGCCUGAUCCAGCCAUACCGCGUGGGUGAAGAAGGCCUUCGGGUUGUAAAGCCCUUUUGUUGGGAAAGAAAAGCAGCAGGUUAAUACCCCGCUGUUCUGACGGUACCCAAAGAAUAAGCACCGGCUAACUUCGUG